rnacentral:rRNA from 1 species
CAGUAGCCGCGGUAAUACGAAGGGUGCAAGCGUUACUCGGAAUUACUGGGCGUAAAGCGUGCGUAGGUGGUGGUUUAAGUCCGUUGUGAAAGCCCUGGGCUCAACCUGGGAAUUGCAGUGGAUACUGGAUCACUAGAGUGUGGUAGAGGAUAGUGGAAUUUCCGGUGUAGCAGUGAAAUGCGUAGAGAUCGGAAGGAACAUCUGUGGCGAAGGCGACUAUCUGGGCCAACACUGACACUGAGGCACGAAAGCGUGGGGAGCAAACAGGAUUAGAUACCCGUGUAGUCCCUGUCUCUUAUAC